GGGGGACAACGUUUCGAAAGGAACGCUAAUACCGCAUACGUCCUACGGGAGAAAGUGGGGAUCUUCGGACCUCACGCUAUCAGAUGAGCCUAGGUCGGAUUAGCCAGUUGGUGGGGUAACGGCUCACCAAGGCGACGAUCCGUAACUGGUCUGAGAGGAUGAUCAGUCACACUGUAACUGAGACACGGUCCAG
rnacentral:rRNA from 1 species